rnacentral:rRNA from 1 species
UACGUAGGGUGCAAGCGUUAAUCGGAAUUACUGGGCGUAAAGCGCGUGUAGGCGGCUCGGUAAGUCUGCUGUGAAAGUCCAGGGCUCAACCCUGGAAUGCCGGUGGAAACUGUCGGGCUAGAGUCCGGAAGAGGCGAGUGGAAUUCCUGGUGUAGCGGUGAAAUGCGCAGAUAUCAGGAGGAACACCAAUGGCGAAGGCAGCUCGCUGGGACGGUACUGACGCUGAGACGCGAAAGCGUGGGGAGCAAACAGG